rnacentral:lncRNA from 1 species
UCAAGCUUAGGUGUUAAAAUAAAAAGGAGGGAAUCUUUGAAAGAUUGGGGAGCAGUGUUAUGUUGAUGAUGCUCUCUCAUCAGAAUUAAAGUUAGAAUGCAGAAAUUAAAUGUUUUUUUUUUUCCCCAAUUUUUGUGUGAAAGGAAUAGUGUGAUGAAACAGGGGAUUGAAAGAGGUCGGCAGGUACGGUUGGUGUAGAACCAUUUAUUACUUCUCACCUUAAAGGGCCGCUCUCGUUUCUCUAUUGUUGAGCCCAUCUUCGGCCCACUUUUAUUUUUGUAAACUUUAUCAUGUAUUUUUUAAUUCCUUUAUAAAAAAAACUUAAGAAUGUCCAAAAAAAAAAAAAAAAAAAACUUAAGAAUGAUCUGUUUCUAAAAUCUUUUUUCUUUUUUAGUUGUUAAAGGAUAUGGAAAAAUAUUGAAGCACUAAACAACAAAUCUAAAAUGACUUGGACAUCCACUCAAAUUUUUAAAAAAGCUUGCGUUUCUCUGUUUGUUAAGUUUCCCAUGUCGAGAAGGUAAUGAAUAGUUUUCCCACGUUUUUUGAAUAGAACUCUGCAUUGUUCUUACUCUAAACCCAAAAAUUGUCCAAUGGUAGAACAUGUAUUCACUGAUUCUGCAAUGACUUUUUCUUCUUUCUCAACAACAUUACAUAACUAUCAGUCACCCAACACUUAAAAAAAAAAAAAAAGUCUUUUAUUUCUUUGAUCAAGUAAAGUUUUCUAUGCUCACACGUGUAAACAAAUCCUGCUACUCAAGUCGAUCGUAUAACUCAAUAAAG